CGCGGUAUUUUAACCGUGCAAAGGUAGCAUAAUCAUUAGUUUUUUAAUUGAAGGCUUGUAUGAAUGAUUGGACGAGAUAUUAACUGUUUCAUAUAAAAUUAAAUAGAAUUUUAUUUUUUAGUUAAAAAGCUAAAAUUUUAAUAAAAGACGAGAAGACCCUAUAGAUCUUAAUAAUUUAUAUAUUUUAUUUAUAUAGAAAUUUUAAAAUAUUAUAUUAAAAAAUUAUUUUAUUGGGGUGAUAAUAAAAUUAAAUUAACUUUUAUAUAAAUUUUACAUUAAUUAUUGAAUAUUUGAUCCAUUAUUAAUGAUUAAUAAAUUAAGUUACCUUAGGGAUAACAGCGUAAUUUUUUUAGAGAGUUCAUAUCGAUAAAAAAGAUUGCGACCUCGAUGUUGGAUUAAG
rnacentral:rRNA from 2 species